AACGAACGCUGGCGGCACGCCUAACACAUGCAAGUCGAGCGCUACCUUCGGGUGGAGCGGCGGACGGGUUAGUAACGCGUGGGAAUAUGCCCAUCACUAAGGAAUAGCCACUGGAAACGGUGAAUAAUACCUUAUACGCCCUUCGGGGGAAAGAUUUAUCGGUGAUGGAUUAGCCCGCGUAAGAUUAGAUAGUUGGUGGGGUAACGGCCUACCAAGUCGACGAUCUUUAGCUGGUUUGAGAGGAUGAUCAGCAACACUGGGACUGAGACACGGCCCAGACUCCUACGGGAGGCAGCAGUGGGGAAUCUUAGACAAUGGGCGAAAGCCUGAUCUAGCGAUGCCGCGUGAGUGAUGAAGGUCCUAGGAUCGUAAAGCUCUUUCGCCAAGGAUGAUAAUGACAGUACUUGGUAAAGAAGCCCCGGCUAACUCCGUGCCAGCAGCCGCGGUAAUACGGAGGGGGCUAGCGUUGUUCGGAAUUACUGGGCGUAAAGCGCACGUAGGCGGAUUAAAAAGUUAGAGGUGAAAUCCCAGGGCUUAACCCUGGAACUGCCUUUAAAACUAGUAGUCUAGAGUUCGAGAGAGGUGAGUGGAAUUCCAAGUGUAGAGGUGAAAUUCGUAGAUAUUUGGAGGAACACCAGUGGCGAAGGCGGCUCUCUGGGCCAUUCCUGACGCUGAGAUGCGAAAGCUAGGGGAGAGAACGGGAUUAGAAACCCCGGUAUUCCUAGCCGUAAACGAUGUCAACUAGGUGUAGGAGGUAUUAACCCCUUCUGUGCUGUAGCUAACGCGUUAAGUUGACCGCCUGGGGACUACGGCCGCAAGGCUAAAACUCAAAGGAAUUGACGGGGACCCGCACAAGCAGCGGAGCGUGUGGUUUAAUUCGAGGCUACGCGAAGAACCUUACCAGGGCUUGACAUAUACGUGGUAGUGAAGCGAAAGCGGAAUGACCCUUCGGGGAGCGUAUACAGGUGCUGCAUGGCUGUCGUCAGCUCGUGCCGUGAGGUGUUAGGUUAAGUCCUGUAACGAGCGCAACCCUCGUCGUUAGUUAUACGUGUCUAACGAGACCGCCGGUGAUAAACCGGAGGAAGGUGGGGAUGACGUCAAGUCAGCAUGGCCUUUAUGUCCUGGGCUACACACACGCUACAAUGGCCGAUACAAUGGGUAGCCAAGCCGCGAGGUGGAGCCAAUCCUUCAAAGUCGGUCUCAGUUCGGAUUGUAGGCUGCAACUCGCCUGCACGAAGUCGGAGUUGCUAGUAAACGCGCGUCAGCAACAGUGCGUUGAAUACGUUCCCGGGUCUUGUACACACCGCCCGUCACGUCAUGGAAGUUGGCAACGCCUGAAGUCGGUGAGCUAACCCUAACGGGAGGCAGCCGCCCAAGGCGGGGUCGGUAACUGGGACG
rnacentral:rRNA from 1 species